rnacentral:lncRNA from 1 species
GCGCAAAUCUCGGGCGACAGGCUUUGCGCGACUUGUACCGCCCGUGUAGCCGAGUUUGGGUCAUUCUUUCAGGUUUUUUUUGUUUGUCCGCGCAUCUGAGAAGUGGGUGUAGAGCAUGGUAAAGAUGGAAGAACUCUUUGUUGUUGUUGUUGUUAUCUGAGCUGGAGCUGCAGCAAUGAUGGAUCCUUUAACCCACUGCAUCUGGCCAGGGAUCAAACCCAUGCCUCUGCAGCAACCCAAGCUGCCACAGUCAGCUUCACCUGCCACAUCACAGCGGGAACUCUAGGGUGGAAGGAUUUUUUUUCUUUUCUUUUUAGGGCUGCACCUGCAGCAUAUGUAAGUUACCAGGCCAGGGGUCUAAUCAGAGCUAAGCUGCCCGUCUACACUGAUGCCUAUGCAGCAACAUGGAUUCGCGCCUCAUCUGCAACCUAUACCACAGCUCUCACUGAGCGAGACCAGGAAUUGAACCCACGUCCUCAUGGAUAUUAGUCAGGUUCUUAAUCUGAAGAACCACAACAGGACCUCUGUGGGGUGAGAGAAUUCUUUCUGUCCCUAUUUUAUAGGUCUUCUCCCUCUUCUGUGUGCAAAGCACCAGUAAUAAGCCACUGUCAUCACCCUGGUGACCUGGGCUUCCUUUGCCAUGCCUCCUGAAGCUGUCAGCCCUUGGACCAUGUGCAAGGAAAAUCAAAAUGGAGUGGGCAUUAGUAAGAGAGCUCUCCAAAAUGGAGCCAGGAGGCCACUGGGACAAGGACGUGAUGAUAAACCAGUCUCAGUCCGGGCUUCUCUUGGUUCGCUCCAGCCUUGGAUGGGCUUUUCCCCUCACAUCCCAAGAUGACUACCGGAAGUUUCAGCUGCCGGCUCACACCCCAGCCCCAGCCAUGCCACAUCCGAGCUGUGUCUGCAACCUACACCACAGCUCAUAACAACGCUGGAUCCUUUAACCCACUGAGUGAGGCCAGGGAUCGAACCUGCAUCCUCAUGGAUACUAGUCAGAUUCGUUUCCGCUGUGCCACAAUGGGAACUCC